rnacentral:rRNA from 1 species
GAUGAACGCUGGCGGCGUGCCUAAUACAUGCAAGUCGAGCGAACGGACGAGAAGCUUGCUUCUCUGAUGUUAGCGGCGGACGGGUGAGUAACACGUGGAUAACCUACCUAUAAGACUGGGAUAACUUCGGGAAACCGGAGCUAAUACCGGAUAAUAUUUUGAACCGCAUGGUUCAAAAGUGAAAGACGGUCUUGCUGUCACUUAUAGAUGGAUCCGCGCUGCAUUAGCUAGUUGGUAAGGUAACGGCUUACCAAGGCAACGAUGCAUAGCCGACCUGAGAGGGUGAUCGGCCACACUGGAACUGAGACACGGUCCAGACUCCUACGGGAGGCAGCAGUAGGGAAUCUUCCGCAAUGGGCGAAAGCCUGACGGAGCAACGCCGCGUGAGUGAUGAAGGUCUUCGGAUCGUAAAACUCUGUUAUUAGGGAAGAACAUAUGUGUAAGUAACUGUGCACAUCUUGACGGUACCUAAUCAGAAAGCCACGGCUAACUACGUGCCAGCAGCCGCGGUAAUACGUAGGUGGCAAGCGUUAUCCGGAAUUAUUGGGCGUAAAGCGCGCGUAGGCGGUUUUUUAAGUCUGAUGUGAAAGCCCACGGCUCAACCGUGGAGGGUCAUUGGAAACUGGAAAACUUGAGUGCAGAAGAGGAAAGUGGAAUUCCAUGUGUAGCGGUGAAAUGCGCAGAGAUAUGGAGGAACACCAGUGGCGAAGGCGACUUUCUGGUCUGUAACUGACGCUGAUGUGCGAAAGCGUGGGGAUCAAACAGGAUUAGAUACCCUGGUAGUCCACGCCGUAAACGAUGAGUGCUAAGUGUUAGGGGGUUUCCGCCCCUUAGUGCUGCAGCUAACGCAUUAAGCACUCCGCCUGGGGAGUACGACCGCAAGGUUGAAACUCAAAGGAAUUGACGGGGACCCGCACAAGCGGUGGAGCAUGUGGUUUAAUUCGAAGCAACGCGAAGAACCUUACCAAAUCUUGACAUCCUUUGACAACUCUAGAGAUAGAGCCUUCCCCUUCGGGGGACAAAGUGACAGGUGGUGCAUGGUUGUCGUCAGCUCGUGUCGUGAGAUGUUGGGUUAAGUCCCGCAACGAGCGCAACCCUUAAGCUUAGUUGCCAUCAUUAAGUUGGGCACUCUAAGUUGACUGCCGGUGACAAACCGGAGGAAGGUGGGGAUGACGUCAAAUCAUCAUGCCCCUUAUGAUUUGGGCUACACACGUGCUACAAUGGACAAUACAAAGGGCAGCGAAACCGCGAGGUCAAGCAAAUCCCAUAAAGUUGUUCUCAGUUCGGAUUGUAGUCUGCAACUCGACUACAUGAAGCUGGAAUCGCUAGUAAUCGUAGAUCGGCAUGCUACGGUGAAUACGUUCCCGAGUCU